AGAGUUUGAUCAUGGCUCAGAAUCAACGCUGGCGGCGUGCCUAACACAUGCAAGUCGAACGCGAAAGUCCCGCAAGGGAUGAGUAGAGUGGCAAACGGGUGAGUAACACGUGGGUGACCUGCCUUCGAGCGGGGGAUAACGUCCCGAAAGGGACGCUAAUACCGCAUGACAUCCUGCCUUUGAAGAGGUGGAGAUCAAAGCUGGGGAUCGCAAGACCUAGCACUCGAAGAGGGGCCCGCGCCUGAUUAGCUAGUUGGUGAGGUAACGGCUCACCAAGGCGACGAUCAGUAGCCGGCCUGAGAGGGCGGACGGCCACACUGGGACUGAGACACGGCCCAGACUCCUACGGGAGGCAGCAGUGGGGAAUUGUUCGCAAUGGGCGCAAGCCUGACGACGCAACGCCGCGUGGAGGACGAAGACCUUCGGGUCGUAAACUCCUUUCGAUCGAGACGAAUAGUCUCCGGGUGAACAAUCCGGAGGAAUGACGGUACCGAGAGAAGAAGCCCCGGCUAACUCCGUGCCAGCAGCCGCGGUAAUACGGGGGGGGCAAGCGUUGUUCGGAAUUACUGGGCGUAAAGGGCUCGUAGGUGGCCAACUAAGUCAGACGUGAAAUCCCUCGGCUUAACCGGGGAACUGCGUCUGAUACUGGAUGGCUUGAGUUUGGGAGAGGGAUGCGGAAUUCCAGGUGUAGCGGUGAAAU
rnacentral:rRNA from 1 species